rnacentral:rRNA from 1 species
CUUCAUGGAGGGUUUGAUCCUGGCUCAGGACGAACGCUGGCGGCGUGCCUAACACAUGCAAGUCGAGCGAGAAGGGGCCUUCGGGUCCUGGAUAGCGGCGAACGGGUGAGUAACACGUGGGCAACCUGCCCCAAGGACUGGGACAACUCCGGGAAACCGGGGCUAAUACCGGACGUUCUUGUACCACACAAGUGGUGCAAGCAAAGGUAGCUUCGGCCUCCGCCUUGGGAUGGGCCCGCGGCCUAUCAGCUUGUUGGUGAGGUAACGGCUCACCAAGGCUACGACGGGUAGCUGGUCUGAGAGGACGAUCAGCCACACUGGGACUGAGACACGGCCCAGACUCCUACGGGAGGCAGCAGUGGGGAAUCUUGCGCAAUGGGCGAAAGCCUGACGCAGCAACGCCGCGUG